UAUACAUGUAUUAACCAUAUUUCCUUUGUUUAAAAAAGUGAUUUUGUACAAAUUAGUAUUGAAGCACACUACAGAUUUUACAUUCAACAUCCAUUAGAGAUUCAUACAAUGCAUGUAGAACUACAUGUAGAGAAUUAUGCACAAACCGGCUCCUUUACUUCGUUGUUACAAUCAUUGCCAAUCUUAAACAUGGCUAUAUUCAAAUUUGUUCUGGUAAUUAUGGAUAAUAACUUGGAUCACUACUUGUUUUUAAGCUAGUUCUCUGUCAAAAUCUAAAUUUAUCUUGUUAGAACAGUCUGCUGAAUGCUGAUAGAAAUGAUAUUGAAAUUCUACACAUACAUUUUAAAGUCUAAGAAAGUAUUGUCAGGGCUCUUUUUAAUCCAAGGUCACUCAAAGCCAUGGCCUUCUAUGUCCUUUCAAAUAUUUGUAGACUUAAUGCUAAAAUAAUCUAAUCAAGUCUAACAAAGAUCUAUUGGUAUGGAUGACAAUCUGAUUACGUUCCCAGAAAAAAAUCCAUUCAAAUUAGAACAUCUAUUAUCAAUCAAGUAGUUGCAAUUGUAUCCUAUUUAUGUCUUCUUGCUUUUCUUAGAAUAUGAUGAGAAAUUUCUAAUUUCAGCAAUAGAAUUGUUGAUUUUUAAAUUCCAUUAUAUUUCAAAAAUUGGCAGCUUGGUAUUUUAACAUAUAUGUAAUUUUCUUCAUUGUAAUUUGUAUUCAAAUUUAAUGCAUUGUCUCUGUUCAAAUUAUUAUUUUGAUGUAUGUUUAAUAUGUGUACGGUAUAUUUUCAUGACAAUAUUGCAUACAAUGUUUUAUUUGUUUUCUUUAAUGAUCUCAUUCAUGGUGAAAAAUGUGUGUAGCAUAUCUGACUAAAAGGGGGGAAAAGAAGAAAUGAUGGUGGCCUGGAAUAAAACCUCCAUAUAUUAUUU